ensembl:lncRNA
CUUAGUUUUUCUUGAAAGUGAAUUUCCAGAGAGGUACUUUUGAAUAGACUUGGCGACAGACUUCAAACUCCUGUUAAGCUCAGAAGAUGCACCUAGAAGAUGGAAGGAUGAAGAUAGGAGAGGGGACCGAUCUCAGGAAUACUUGGGAAAGAGCAUUUUGAAGUAAGGUAUAUUCACAGCUUCAGGAAGACUGAAACAGAAGAGUUUUAAACCAAGGACACCAAAGUUCCAGUAUGGAGCCUCAAAGACAGGCCUUGCUGCUGCCGGAGUCUGGAGUCGCUCAGAGGGGAUGCCAUCAUUCACAGCGGAACUAAGGUUUUCCCAGGAGCAGCACCCAGCCCAGGAGGUCAGCUGAGGUUCUGGAUCGGCCUUGGGGCGUGAGAUCAGUAUGGACUGCAGUGGACUUGCUGCAUAUCCUAGAUAACAGUAUCAUCCGAAAGGGCGCUGAAACCAACUGCUCCCUUCCUGCCGCAGUCUCUCAGAUACUUAGUUUCUCUCCUCCCCUCCAGACAAAGAAUUUACUCUAGCCACAGAAAAG